UACGUAGGGGGCAAGCGUUGUCCGGAUUUAUUGGGCGUAAAGAGCGUGUAGGCGGCUUCACAGGUCCGCUGUGAAAACUCGAGGCUCAACCUCGAGCUGUCGGUGGAAACCGUGUGGCUAGAGUCCGGAAGAGGAGAGUGGAAUUCCCGGUGUAGCGGUGAAAUGCGCAGAUAUCGGGAAGAACACCCGUGGCGAAGGCGGCCCUCUGGCUCGUUGCUGACGCUGAAACGCGAAAGCGUGGGGAGCAAACAGG
rnacentral:rRNA from 1 species